rnacentral:rRNA from 1 species
UCUAGAGGCUUCGGCAAUGGGGGAAACCCUGACCGAGCGACGCCGCGUGAGGGAUGAAGCCCUUCGGGGUGUAAACCUCUUUCGACCGGAAAGAAAGCCUGGAUGGCGAAUCCAGGACUGACGGUACCGGGGGAAGAAGCCACGGCUAACUCCGUGCCAGCAGCCGCGGUAAUACGGAGGUGGCAAGCGUUCUUCGGAUUUAUUGGGCGUAAAGGGCGCGUAGGCGGCCAGGUGCGUCUGGUGUGAAAUUCCCAUCGCUUAACGAGGGAACUGCACUGGAUACGGCUUGGCUAGAGUCCGGGAGAGGUGAGUGGAAUUCCUGGUGUAGCGGUGGAAUGCGUAGAUAUCAGGAAGAACACCGGUGGCGAAGGCGGCUCACUGGCCCGGUACUGACGCUGAGGCGCGAAAGCGUGGGGAGCAAACG